AUUUCCCAGAAGCCCCUUGGGCAGUGUUGCCUGGACCCCAAGGGCCCUUUACAUUGCGUUCUUAACGGUUCAGUCACCUCGGUGCAUUAUUCACAGGCGGGCAAGAAGUCCGAGUUAGGGAUCCUGAAAAGGAGGGAACAAUUGUAGCAGUUCUAAAAGUUCAGGUCCAGGAAAUGGAAACAUUGCUUUGCUUUUCCUGAAUUGUCCAGUGACCUAUCCCAGGCCUUCCUUUCCAGUGAACAAUAGACCAUGCAGAGUCUCACUUUGUUGCCCAGGCUGGAGUGCAAUGGUGCGAUCUCGGCUCACUGCAACCUCCAUCUCCCAGGUUCAAGCAAUUCUCCUGCCUCAGCCUCCCAAGUAGCUGGGAAGGCGCCCGCUACCACGCCCAGCUAAUUUUUUGUAUUUUUAAUAGAGAUGGGUUUUCGCCAUGUUGGCCAGGCUGGUCUCGAACUCCUGACUUCAGGUGAUCCACCCGCCUCGG
rnacentral:sRNA from 1 species